GCCAGUGUAGUGUAAUGGUUUGAGUGUUGGACUAGUACACCAGAAGACCAUGGUUCAAAUCCCGGCUUGGUCA